rnacentral:rRNA from 1 species
GACAGAGGGUGCAAACGUUGUUCGGAUUUACUGGGCGUAAAGCGCGUGUAGGCGGCUUUACAAGUCGGAUGUGAAAGCCCACGGCUCAACCGUGGAAGUGCAUCCGAAACUGUAUCGCUGGAGUCCCGGAGAGGAAGGUGGAAUGCUUGGUGUAGAGGUGAAAUUCGUAGAUAUCAAGCAGAACACCUGCGGCGAAGGCGGCCUCUGGACGGUGACUGACGCUGAGACGCGAAAGCGUGGGGAGCAAACAGGGAUUAAGA